rnacentral:rRNA from 1 species
UGUGACUGCGUACCUUUUGUAUAAUGGGUCAGCGACUUAUAUUCUGUAGCAAGGUUAACCGAAUAGGGGAGCCGGAGGGAAACCGAGUCUUAAUUGGGCGUUAAGUUGCAGGGUAUAGACCCGAAACCCGGUGAUCUAGCCAUGGGCAGGUUGAAGGUUGGGUAACACUAACUGGAGGACCGAACCGACUAAUGUUGAAAAAUUAGCGGAUGACCUGUGGCUGGGGGUGAAAGGCCAAUCAAACCGGGAGAUAGCUGGUUCUCCCCGAAAGCUAUUUAGGUAGCGCCUCGUGAAUUCAUCUCCGGGGGUAGAGCACUGUUUCGGCUAGGGGGCCAUCCCGGCUUACCAACCCGAUGCAAACUGCGAAUACCGGAGAAUGUUAUCACGGGAGACACACGGCGGGUGCUAACGUCCGUCGUGAAGAGGGAAACAACCCAGACCGCCAGCUAAGGUCCCAAAGUCAUGGUUAAGUGGGAAACGAUGUGGGAAGGCCCAGACAGCCAGGAUGUUGGCUUAGAAGCAGCCAUCAUUUAAAGAAAGCGUAAUAGCUCACUGGUCGAGUCGGCCUGCGCGGAAGAUGUAACGGGGCUAAACCAUGCACCGAAGCUGCGGCAGCGACGCUGAUGCGUUGUUGGGUAGGGGAGCGUUCUGUAAGCCUGCGAAGGUGGCCUGUGAGGGUUGCUGGAGGUAUCAGAAGUGCGAAUGCUGACAUAAGUAACGAUAAAGCGGGUGAAAAGCCCGCUCGCCGGAAGACCAAGGGUUCCUGUCCAACGUUAAUCGGGGCAGGGUGAGUCGACCCCUAAGGCGAGGCCGAAAGGCGUAGUCGAUGGGAAACGGGUUAAUAUUCCCGUACUUGGUGUUACUGCGAAGGGGGGACGGAGAAGGCUAUGUUGGCCGGGCGACGGUUGUCCCGGUUUAAGCGUGUAGGUGUGUGUUCCAGGUAAAUCCGGUU